CCGCUUGCGCGAAUGCACUAGCGAGGCCGUUCUUGACGCCCCCUCCUCCUGUCCUCAUGAGGCAGGCCACGCACGCACAUGUAGCACCACCGUCGGUCUGACCGCACAGGUGGUUGAGAUCCGUGCUAGCCACUACAGACCUCGUCACAACAACCACCCGCUCUGCUGCUUCGCUAGAGAGUAGCCGACCUCUGGCGGCGGGCUCGUGGCCAACGACCGCUCCCCAUCAGCUGAGGACAUGAGGGAGGCGCCGACGGUGUCCGGUGGCGUUGUCCUCGACCGCCUGCCGCUCCCUAGCCACCAGCCUGUCGAUGGGGCCCGCCGCAUCGCCUCCACCUCUAGUCUCGUGGCUCGACUGGUGAUUUGAAUCUUUGACUAGAAAGCCAUGUCUCAGAAUAGUAGGAGUUGGAUGCGCAUGCACUUCACGACAAAUGAGUGGCAAACAAAUUUCAAAAAGUUCAUACAAACUACAUUUGGUGGCACUACUAGAGGAGAAACUGCACCAUGUCCAUGUUCAAGAUGUCGAUGCAUGUCCUACAAAACACAAUCUCAGGUUCAGAGUCACUUGGUUAUUAGAGGGUUUGAUGAGAGCUUCAUCGAAGAAGGAAACCAAGCAAACGAUUCAGAUGAGGGCAAUGCUGCAACAGUUGUCAAUGAUGAUGAAACAGGUGACAGUGGUUCUGUGACCGAACUAGUUUCAACGCUAAUCAGUGGUGCUAUACAUGAAGACAUCAUAGGAAAUAUUAAUGAAGAGCCAAAUGCAAAAGCAAAGGCAUUCUUUAAUCUAUUAACAGAGGCAAAGAAGGAAUUGUAUCCAGGUUGCAAGGAGGUCACUAAGGUAUCUUUUAUAGUAAGGCUCUUUCAGAUUAAAUGCAUGUUUGGUCUUAGUAAAAGUGCAUUAGCGGUUGUACUUCAGUUGUUCCGGCUUGUUCUCCCAGAAGGCCACUGUGUUACGGACACAUUGGAUACAUCUUGUUGCCACGAGUCACUUGUGUGGCACUAGUGUUUUGUUGCCAUGAAGCAUCUUGUGGUAACAAAGCCAUUUGCAACAGAUUCAAACGUGGCAUUAACACUUAUUACCAUGAAAUAUGUUGUGGCAAUAUAGUUUUUGGCAACUAUUAUAAAUGUUGCAAUAUAACUUAUUUGCAACAUAAUAGUCCAUUGUAACAACAAACAGUUACAACACUUGAACACGUUGCAAAGGAUAUAGUAAUUGCAACAUAACGUAAAAAUGUUGCUAUAACCUAUUGCCACUCUAUUUUUUGCAACAGCAGGCAACAACAGUUGUUUUAUCGCAAUUGGUGCCUAUUGCAAUGAUUUAUAGUCUAUCGCCACGAUUUUUGCCCAUUGCAAGAAGGUGAUUUUUUAGUAGUGAGGGUCAGGAUCUGCCUGUUUGAUUACUAUGAGUGGUCGAUCAGUGCCCAAUUGCCCCAUGUGGAUGGGAGGAGCAAACGUGGAGCAAUGGUGGCAGUGGCUAAGUGAUUGAGAUCUACGGGGUGAUUGCAAAGGCCCUUCCAAAGGAAGAAACACGUGAGGAUGGGAGUGUUGGUGCACAGAAGUUUCGUGUUAAGUUGCUGCCAGAAGAUUCAACGAACCUACUGAUGUGCUUUGUCAUGUACAAUAGCGAUAAGGCUGAUGAAAUUAUGCAUCAUAGGCAAAAUUUGUUUGAAGAUUGGGAGGUCUUGAUUAUAUUAUCCUAGGGUUCACUACUUUUCAGUGGGAAUUCCUAUAAUUCGUUGAAUCCACAUUAGUAUUUGUUGUUUAUAAAUUAUUAUAACAAAUAAAAGCAAUUAUCAUUUUGGUACCUGAAGUGUCUUGAUGUUUGUGUUGCAGAUUGGUCUAGAUGGAAUUUGCAUGCUUGAUCUGAGUAUAGACAGAACCCUAAGAAUUUUUUUGCUCGAUUCACUGACAAGAUGGAGGAGGGUUGGGCAAUUUGUUCUUAUGAAGAUGAUAUUUGUAUCUUUGUAGAACAUAUUCACUAUAGUUUUAUAUUAAUGUUUAUUUGCACUGCUUAUUUAGGUUUUGGAUGCAACUAUAUUUGCAUUCUGGGUGACGAUAUUAGUGGAUAUUGAACCAAAGAGAAUUAGGUUGAAGUCAAGCACUUAUACUUCAAAUACUAUGCUUGACAAUGUUAUGUAGGUAUUGCAGCAACACUGUUUUGUCCUUUCCCUUAUAGUAUUUAGCAUAAUAUUUUUCUACUAAAAAGAAAAAUGCUUCUCUGACGAUGCCUUAGUUUCUUUGUGUGUGUGUUGCUUCUGGUCUUAUUUGUCUUUGCCUUUGCUUCAUAUCUAAACUAAUCUAUGAUGAUGCCUUAGUUACUUCGUGUGUGUGUUUCUUCUGGUCUUAUUUGUCUUUGUCUUUGCUUCACAUCUAAUAAACUAAUCUGUAACGAGAAGCUAGCCAGCUGCAACCUGCUUCAUGGGUGACCGGAUGACGGGUCCUUAGCGGCUCGGUGUCACUGUGUCAACAAGUCAGCAAUGAGCUGGCGAGCGACUGCCCAGCGAGCGCCCUCCCUAAUCUGUAGCUCCCCCACCCGACACAGGCACACAGUCCCCACUCCUAAGCUUCAAGGUAAUAUUCUAAUAUUUAAUUUUGUAACCUUCAAUUCCUUGUACUAUUGUUAUUUGUAAAUAUGUUAUCUGUAGAUGUACUAUGCAAGCUUCAAUAUUUGUAUGUGUAGGUUAGGCUCACGUCUGUUGCUUGUUAGAGUGGUGUCCAUUCAUUCUUUGGACUUUGGAGUGGUGUUCAUUCAUUAUUUGUUUGGAGUGGUGUUCAUUCAUUAUUUGGCAUGAGAGGGUGUCAAAUUGUCAAUGACUUCCAAUCUGUCAUUGUCGUGCGUGCGUUGUGGUUGCCACUUUUUUGCAAAAAAUUCUCUUUCGUCAUUGUCCGUGCAUGUGUUGUGUUUCACUGCUUCCUUGGUUGUUAUUAGGUUUCUUACAAUUCUAGCUUAUUUGUAUACAAACAUAUGUGAGCCUAAACUACACAUACAAGAAAUAGAUGUUACUGCUGGAAUGCUUUAAAAGAAUGUUGCCUAUACAGCUGUCGGGCAUGUUUAUUAUGAACUUUCGAGCCACCUCAGUUUUAAUGAAUGGUAAGUUACUAAGUUUGUAACUUCAUGAGUUCUUAACAAAAACGAUAUCUGUCUUUGUAGAGUUGUCUGUAGAUGCUCUUGCAUGUUUGCAAUUUGUGUGCUAGCAUCAUGUGUUGAGCAUAUCGAUUAAGCAUUAUUGGAAAGUCGAUGGUCGUAGUGGGCUCUAAAUGAUUGCAUUCCUUUAUGUUUUUCUUUAUUUUCUACAAGUUCAUGGAUCUCUAUCUAUUGAAAUUUCAAAUCAUCACCCCAAUAUGCGUAUCAUACGUAGAAAAUUGCAUUGCUACUUGGGCAAUGGAUUUCUGAGGUGUGAUUUCUCUGAUAUGAUAUGAUUUCAGAAAAUCAUAUGUGAUAUAGUUUACUCUCGGCACAACAUCUAGGCUUAGUGGUUUAAUCUAUAUUUGGGAUCCAACAUGGAUUGCUGCAGGAUAAUGACAUAGCUGUUGGAGUAUGUUCUACCUCUGCAAUUUCUUGGCAUUAUGAGUGCAUAACUGUACACACUUGUUUUAAUUGUUUGUUCAUUAUGUUCAACUUUCAACUAGCAACAUUCUCUUCUCGGUGUUAUCUUUUCCAAGAAUCUUGCUUUUCAGAACUAGAUUUGUUUGAGUGUCUUCCUACAUGUUGGACGAUGAGUUCCAAGUUGAUAGAAGGCAUCCAAGAAUUUGAUCAGAAGGUUUGUAUCUCAAAAGCAGAAUUCCUAUUCUUAGAUUGCAGUAGCACCUGUUCAAACAAUACUGAUUUGGAGAAAAUUCAUCCCACUGUCGAUCGACUUAGUAGACAAGAAUGACAAUUACAAUAGUUUCUCAAAUUAUGUGUAACUGUAACUACUACGUAGAUGUAGCCAAACAUUAUUUGAUGAUUACUCAGCUGAUCACUUAAUGAUACCUAUUUUGUAGAUAUGAUUUGAGAGGAGUUUGGAUAAUCUAAAAGAACCUAUACAUCUAGCAUUCAAAGUCAUGUUUGGAUUUUCAGAAUGCCCUUAUAUCCAUGUAUACAAUUGUUCAUUGUUUGUCCUUUUUAUCUGUAAUUUCUCUUGUAUCAUUACAAACAGACAGUAUCAAUACUGAUUCGUAAAUAAUGUGUUGCCAUCCACAGACCACAUGUUUGAUCCUGACAGUGAUUUUAGUUUUUACUGUUGACCUCCCAUAGUUCCUGACUUCCUGACAUCGACCACUGUAUUUUUAGUUGAUUGACUAGCCUGAGGGUGGAUACUUGACUGUUGAUUUACCAAUGCCUCAGGGAGAAGUUGUAAUUGGGGGUCCAAAUGUAACUAAAGGCUAUUUCAAGAAUAAAUCUAAAACAAAUGAUGAUUGUGAGCCCAUAUAUGGAGAACAUUAUGAUCAAUAUUGAUCCUUUCCACAAUUACUGUGUUGUGCUUGUGGUAGUUGCACAAAUUGAGCUGCAAAGCUGGGCUUUCCAGCAAGGAAUUAAAACAACAAUUUCUCAUAUUUGUGGUAGAAGCAAGAGGUUGUUAAAGAAGUGCUCUUUAGCAAAGGUUUGUGUUUUAUGUUCACCCAUCAACAUCUGUUUUCUUUAUUGUGUUGGAUCACCACAUGUUUAUAGCUAACUCCAUGCUUAUUAGAAGCGGAUUUGUACCAAAGAAAAGGGUUUAGCAUCCAUUGAUCUUUUACUCAUCCAUGCUUUUGAUUUUUCUAGAAAUGUAUAGUUUUGGCUUGAUUCACUGUUACACCUGGUCUACUAGAAGUAUUUUUUUCUAAUUUUAGUAGCAAUAUAAAUAUGCCAAUAGGAAAAUAUUUUUCUAGGUGUCAUUUGCUCGUACUUUGCUAUGGUUUGUAGUUAAUGGUACUUUUGGCACUUUCCAUAAACAAAGGGUAGCUUUUUAUUCUAGACGAGAUUAUUGUUCUCUUAAAUAAUCCAGUCAUUCUUGCCUACCAGAGUCCCUUUACUUCAAAAUAUAGGGAAACAGAAGUCCUUCAUUGGCUCUUCUCAUCUUAGCUCACAUGCAGUACAUGAAUACCAAUUUCUUCCUAAGCAGCCAAGUGAUACAUAUGAGAGGGGAAGCCAGUUGCGCUUCUAUGAUGCUCUAGCAGAAGUGUCAAACUCGAAGGUUGAUCCGCUAAAUCCACGGUAAAAAAUUGGCACCCCUCAAGUUGUCGGAUUUGAAAGCUCCCUCGCAUCCCCUAAAAGAUUAGGUUAUCAUGAUGAAGAUACAUGUCACAUGGACAGAAAACACAAGAACUAUAUUUAUGAAUAUAAUAUUUUUCUUCUUCUUUUGUAUUAUUAUAUUCAUAAUUUUUUACUUUUGUAUUAUUAUUUGUUGAUAUAUGUCGUAUUUGUCUAAUGUUACUUCAGCAUAAUGAGGAAGUAAGAUUGCAGAGGAGGUUGAGUCUCAUGAAAAGAUAAUUAAAAAGGAGCUUGAGAGUUGAGAAGCAAGAUCUACAAAACAGAAAGAAAGAGGAACAAAUGUAGAGGGAAAUGGUGAUACAUGAUCACGAGAGAUGUAAGGAAGAGGAUAGGUUGAUGCGUGAAAGGCAAAGGAAAGAAGAAAAAUUCCAGUAGGAACAAAGACAUAUACUUAUAUAACUAUUACAAUAGAUAAAAAAUGUUACAAUGUCUCUCUUCCUUAGAACUAAAUUGGGAUAUCAUUCAUUGACAUAGGUUUGGUUUUAUUUAACAAUUAUUAUAUAAUUGUGCAUCGUCGCA